UACGGAGGGGGGCUAGCGUUGUUCGGAAUUACUGGGCGUAAAGCGCACGUAGGCGGCUUUGUAAGUUAGAGGUGAAAGCCCAGGGCUUAACCCUGGAAUUGCCUUUAAGACUGCAUCGCUCGAAUUGUGGAGAGGUGAGUGGAAUUCCGAGUGUAGAGGUGAAAUUCGUAGAUAUUCGGAAGAACACCAGUGGCGAAGGCGACUCACUGGACACAUAUUGACGCUGAGGUGCGAAAAGCGUGGGGAGCAAACAGG
rnacentral:rRNA from 1 species